GACAGAGGAUGCAAGCGUUAUCCGGAAUGAUUGGGCGUAAAGCGUCUGUAGGUGGCUUUUUAAGUCUGCCGUCAAAUCCCAGGGCUUAACCCUGGACAGGCGGUGGAAACUACCAAGCUGGAGUACGGUAGGGGCAGAGGGAAUUUCCGGUGGAGCGGGUGAAAUGCGUAGAGAUCGGAAAGAACACCAACGGCGAAAGCAACUCUGCUGGGCCGACACUGACACUGAGAGACGAAAGCUAGGGGAGCGAAUGGG
rnacentral:rRNA from 1 species